CUUGUUAAUCUACUGUAAACUAAUAAAUCAGUGUGUUAAUAAUAUCACACAAGAGAAUGGUGUCUUUCUGUAUCCUUUCCCAGAAGAGGAGACCUGGAUCAUCCUCUAACUACGAUGUUCGGCCCUCAAUGACCUGCAUAGCAAGUACAGGUUAAAUUAGCUGGGGGGCAGGAAGGUAAAACAUCAAAAAUCACAUCAGGAGACGAAGAUUUAUCAGAGGAGGUUUAUAUAAAGGCUUAGCUCUAUCUUCAACUACUGCAGUACAAGAAAUUCAAAACAUGUUAAUAAUAUCACACAAGAGAACGGUGUCUUUCUGCAUCCUUCCACAAAAGAGGGCACCUGGAUCAUUCUCUGACUCUGAUGUUUGGCGAUUGGGGACCUGCAUAGCAUAUAUGGGUACCCAAGGAAGUUACCACCUUCUAUGUCUAUUAGCCGGGUGAUGCUUAUAUAAUCUUUGACCGAGGGUUCAAUCAGCUGCAGGCAGAUGAAUAUGCAUCAGGAGACAAAGAUUUAUGAUAAAUGGAGGAUAGCAUGACAUAGUUUAGCUCAAUCUUGUAUUUCUAAACACUAGAUUACAAGGAAUUAAAAGAAUACGUCAGUUCAUUUACAAGAGUAUUGAAAAACUGUGGCGACAAGAGUUUUUGCGACACGGAGUUAUUUGAAUGGUACUUGGCAACACGGCACUGCAAAUACUGCGACACUGGCUGUGUUCAAACAAUUUUCACCUUUAAAAGAUACAUAUGUUAAUAAUACCACACAUGAGAACGGUGUGUACCCAAGGAACUUACCACCCUCUAUGUCUAUUAGCUGGGUGAUGAUUAAUCUUUGAUCAAGGGUUAAAUCAGCUGCAGGAAGAUGAAUAUGCAUCAGGAGACAAAGAUUUAUGAUAAAUGGGGGAUAGCAUGACAUAAUUUAGCUCAAUUUUGUAUUUCUAAACACUAGAUUACAAGAAAUUAAAAGAAUACGUCAGGUUUACGUCAGUUCAUUUACAAGAGAAUUGAAAAACUGUGGCGACAAGAGUUUUUGCGACACGGAGUUAUUUGAAUGGUACUUGGCAACACGGCACUGCAAAUACUGCGACACUGGCUGUGUUCAAACAAUUUUCACCUUUAAAAGAUAUAUAAUAUGUUAAUAAUACCACACGAGAGAACGGUGAUUGAUGUUUGGCCAUUGGGGACCUGCAUGGCAUAUAUGGGUACCCAAGAGCGUUAAGUAGACACCUGCACAACCUAAAAGAAGAGACCUUGUGACGUUUGGCCAUCAUUCUGGUUUACGAGUUGUUCUUCCAUUAUGUGAAUAAAAGUAAUUAAAAGAGCGUUUCUUACUCUAUAUUGUACCAUAUAAACAAUAAUAAUAAGCUCUUGAACCUAGACGCUAGAGGGCGUUGUCUUACAAUUUAAUAAACAUUGCACG